CUGCACGACGCACCCCGGGCUUUUCGGAAAUCUCAUGAAGAAAAAAGCCCCAAUGCACGUGCUAAAGUGUCAGCCGUUAAGUGUUGCAGUUCAGCCCCAAAUUCUCACGGCUGAUCUGUGUCAAAUCAACGGCGACAUUC